rnacentral:lncRNA from 10 species
GAAAUGAUCCAGUUGAAGUAGAGAAAGAAUUGAUCUUAAUCUUGGGAGAUUCCUGAGGUGGAAGAAAAUAGAUUCCAAAAUACAUGUGGAAGGAUUGACUUUAGUUGGAGGGGACUAUUGUAAUUUAACAGAUGGGAGGGAGAAUAGUUAUGUAGAUAUAGAUAAGGUUGUAGGUUUGGUGGUAGGAAGGUGAGGAAAUUCAUAGCCAAUCAUACUUUUUCUGACAAGUAAACAAGUUUGCUUUUUUGAGACAGAGUUUCGCUCUGUUGCCCAGGCUGGAGUGCAGUGGCACGGCCUCAGCUCACUGCAACCCCUGCAUCCCAGGUUCAAGCAAUUCUCAUGCCUCAGCCUCCCGAGUAGCUGGGAUUACAGGUGCAUGCUACCACGCCCAGCUAAUUUUUGUACUUUUAGUAGAGACGGGGUUUCACCACGUUGGCCAGGCUGUUCUCGAACUCCUGACCUCAGGUGAUCCACCCGCCUCGGCCUCCCAAAGUGCUGGGAUUACAGGCAUGAGCCACCACGCCCAGCCCCAAGUAAACAAGUUUGAAGUGUCGGUGAGAUACCCAGGAGCCCAGUGGAAACAUCCAGCCAGCGGGUAGAGUUCAGAAGAAAGAACUGGGAAGGAGCUAGGAAUUUGAGCAUCCUAAACACAGAAGUGCGAACAACUCUGGGAUUAGGAGAAAUCCAUAGUUCCUGGCAGUGGUCUUGGGAUGCUGUGUAGCUAAAGUGUAGUGGGGAGAAAAGACAUAGGCAAGGUCACUUAGAACAACAGGCUGUUCCCUGCCCAAUCUGACUUAUUUAUAAUUGAGUACACAUGGGUGGGGCCUGAGACAUGGAUGAGCGCUGCAAUAUCCUAUGCAACAAGAGGUUAUCGCAUGUUGGCUCAUUACGUUCCCAGAAUACAGGAAGCUCAACAGUGUGCCUUGGCAGGAGAUGACAAGGGCCUGGGGCAAUAAGAGGAUAGAUUAUAAAGCUGGGCCCAUUUCCCCCUCCCCCAGAGUAGAAUGUGGAAACACUUCAUUCUGGGCAGAAAUAUGAGAACCAAUAAACAGCUUAUUAGGAGUGGGCAGUGAGGUGUGGAGGAAAUGGCAUUCAGUUUUAAUUUUCUCAGAGUCAGUAUCUAAGACUUCUGUGUCUGUGUUCGGUGGACAGGACUCUGGCAUCAUGCCUAGUUGGAGUCAAUGUCCUCCCCUAGGAAGAAAAGAGCCUCUGGCUGCCCCAGUACUAGUCUUUUGGUGCUUACUGGAGAGAAGGUUUGGAAGUUUCAAGGGCUGUUCAACACCUGAGUACUCUUCUCUCUUGACCCCCACUCUGCCCCCAGCCCAC